UGGAAUGUCAAAUAUGACUUCUCCAAUUACAUUGCAGUGCAGUUUUGCUUUUCUCAAGCUACCACCAUCACUCAAGAGUCCAGUGUACUUCUGAGAAAGAUGAUCUAGUGUACGGCUACUGAUAGGUUGUCGUGAUGACCUUUGGACAUUCAGCUGAUCAGAUGUGAUAGUACACCACAGAUAACAAUGGCGACCUUCUCCUGAGAUACCAUAAAUGUGACAAAGGAACUCAUAGUCACCAGAUACAAAGAGACGGAUAGUAUAGUUACUGUGAAUAUCAGCUUUUUUGAAUUUCUGAUACCUGAUCUUGAAAUUUUUUUAAAGCAAUAUGCAGAUUGGUAGCAGAAUCUGGUGCCUCAAAUGCAGC